GCGUCGAUAGUUUAAGGGUAGAAUGUGAGCUUCCCAGUCUCUAGAAAUAGCUGGGGUCUGCGGUAACGUGGACUUCAAACCCUGUUUGCUCACGGUCCGGGUUCGAGUCCCGGUCGACGCA
rnacentral:tRNA from 2 species